rnacentral:rRNA from 1 species
AUUGAACGCUGGCGGCAUGCUUUACACAUGCAAGUCGAACGGCAGCGCGGGCUUCGGCCUGGCGGCGAGUGGCGAACGGGUGAGUAAUACAUCGGAACGUGCCCAGUAGUGGGGGAUAGCUCGGCGAAAGCCGGAUUAAUACCGCAUACGACCUGAGGGUGAAAGCGGGGGAUCUUCGGACCUCGCGCUAUUGGAGCGGCCGAUGGCAGAUUAGCUAGUUGGUGGGGUAAAGGCCUACCAAGGCGACGAUCUGUAGCUGGUCUGAGAGGACGACCAACCACACUGGGACUGAGACACGGCCCAGACUCCUACGGGAGGCAGCAGUGGGGAAUUUUGGACAAUGGGCGAAAGCCUGAUCCAGCAAUGCCGCGUGUGUGAUGAAGGCCUUCGGGUUGUAAAGCACUUUUGGCGGGAACGAAAAGGACUGUGCCAAUACCACGGUUCGAUGACGGUACCCGCAGAAUAAGCACCGGCUAACUACGU